rnacentral:rRNA from 1 species
UGCAAGUCGAGCGGUACAGAGAGUAGCUUGCUACUUUGCUGACGAGCGGCGGACGGGUGAGUAAUGCUUGGGAAUAUGCCUUUUGGUGGGGGACAACAGUUGGAAACGACUGCUAAUACCGCAUAAUGUCUACGGACCAAAGUGGGGGACCUUCGGGCCUCACGCCAAAAGAUUAGCCCAAGUGGGAUUAGCUAGUUGGUAAGGUAAUGGCUUACCAAGGCAACGAUCCCUAGCUGGUUUGAGAGGAUGAUCAGCCACACUGGGACUGAGACACGGCCCAGACUCCUACGGGAGGCAGCAGUGGGGAAUAUUGCACAAUGGGCGCAAGCCUGAUGCAGCCAUGCCGCGUGUGUGAAGAAGGCCUUCGGGUUGUAAAGCACUUUCAGUAAGGAGGAAAGGGUAGUCUUUAAUAGAGGCUAUCUGUGACGUUACUUACAGAAGAAGCACCGGCUAACUCCGUGCCAGCAGCCGCGGUAAUACGGAGGGUGCGAGCGUUAAUCGGAAUUACUGGGCGUAAAGCGUACGCAGGCGGUUUGUUAAGCGAGAUGUGAAAGCCCCGGGCUCAACCUGGGAACUGCAUUUCGAACUGGCAAACUAGAGUGUGAUAGAGGGUGGUAGAAUUUCAGGUGUAGCGGUGAAAUGCGUAGAGAUCUGAAGGAAUACCGAUGGCGAAGGCAGCCACCUGGGUCAACACUGACGCUCAUGUACGAAAGCGUGGGGAG